UUAAGUGUCAAACAUAUAAAUUCAAAGUUCAUAUAUACCAAAAUUAAUAGGAAAAAAUUUCAAAAUAUGGAAAUGUGCAAUCGUAAAACGUUUCUUUUAGUUUUUUCAACCGUUGUACUAUGUUUUAGUGGAUUACUGUGUCUUUUUUUCUUAUGUGUACCUCCAGGUAUUUCUCUUUAAGGACACUUAAGCUCUAAUUUAAUGUAAAUUGUGAAAAUGCUACUGCUCAAAGCGGAUUCGUUUUAUUGAAAGUACUUCUUAAGGACAAAAUGAGUUUUACAAACAUUUAGUGACAUAUAUUAUGAUACUGUUGUGGCCGAUAUAUCAUGCGAUAUUUAUAUUUGUGAUUUGGAAAGCGCGGAAAUGGAAAUACAUAAUACCGGCUGAAGUAAUUUGUGGCUUGCUAGGGGCGUUGUAAGUAACGUAUUUGCUCCUUAACCAACUGCAUGUUAUAGACUGGUACGAUUUUCCCGGAUAUAUACACUUCGGUCCCGGAGGAGGAGAAGGAGGAGGUGGUGGUGGUGGUAGUGGAGGAGGCGGACGCUAUGGAAAAGGCGGAAGAAAAGGCGGAGGGGGAGGCGGAGGAAGAGGCCGAGGCGGAGGCGGAGGUCGAGGAAAAAGGUCGACCUCAGAUAAAGAUAAAUCGGAUUUUUACUGGUCGAUCGUAGCUUAUGGAUGUUGGCUAAUAUCACUUUGGCUGCCACCAUUGGCCAAAACAUCUAUAGAUGAACUAAAAGGGAACUACGCCUGGAGUGCAAGAUAUUAUUGAAAAAAAGGAAGCUUGUGUUUAGUAAAUUUUAAUACAUUUUUGUAAUACAAAGUUAAAAAAAUGU